ACGAACGCUGGCGGCAUGCCUAACCCAUGCAAGUCGAACGAGACCUUCGGGUCUAGUGGCGCACGGGUGCGUAACGCGUGGGAAUCUGCCCUUCGGUUGGGAAUAACUGAGAGAAAUUUCAGCUAAUACCUUAUAAUGUCUUCGGACCAAAGAUUUAUCGCCGAGGGAUGAGCCCGCGUAGGAUUAGGUAGUUGGUGGGGUAAUGGCCUACCAAGCCGACGAUCCUUAGCUGGUCUGAGAGGAUGAUCAGCCACACUGGGACUGAGACACGGCCCAGACUCCUACGGGAGGCAGCAGUGGGGAAUAUUGGACAAUGGGCGAAAGCCUGAUCCAGCAAUGCCGCGUGAGUGAUGAAGGCCUUAGGGUUGUAAAGCUCUUUUACCCGGGAUGAUAAUGACAGUACCGGGAGAAUAAGCUCCGGCUAACUCCGUG
rnacentral:rRNA from 1 species